rnacentral:tRNA from 2 species
GCCGUGUUAUCUCUAAAUGGCAAGAGGACAGGAGCGCGCUGUUAAAACAGACCUGUGGUUAUUGGUUCGAAUCCAAUACACGGCA